GGUUUCGUGGUGUAGUUGGUUAUCACGUGAGUCUAACAUCCUGUUAGCACACUCAAGGUCGCCGGAUCGAGCCCGGCCGAAAUCA